rnacentral:rRNA from 1 species
AGCCAUUAGCCAACCUAGUAUUAAAGGUAAUGCCUGCCCAGUGAGGUACAAACCUUAAACGGCCGCGGUAACACGUGCAAAGGUAGCGCAAUCACUUGUCUUCUAAAUAAAGACCCGUAUGAAUGGCCACAUGAGAAAGAAACUGUCUCUUGAAGACAACCAAUGAAACUGAUCUACCUGUACAAAAGCAGGCAUAUUAAAACAAGACAAAAAGACCCUGUGAAACUUUAAAUUCUAUAUCAAACAUAUGAUACUACUUUUUAGUUGGGGCAACUAUAGAGAAACAAAACCUCUACAAAGACACUGGACCAACUAGUCUAGUGAAACCUCUACCAGACCCAGUACAACUGACCAAUGAACCAAGCUACUCCAGGGAUAACAGCGCCACAUUCUUGAAGAGUUCUUAUCGACAAGAAUACCUACGACCUCGAUGUUGGAUCAGGGUACCCAAACGGCGAAGAAGCUGUUAAAGGUUCGUUUGUUCAACGACUAACACCCU